rnacentral:rRNA from 1 species
AGUGAACGCUGGCGGUAGGCCUAACACAUGCAAGUCGAACGGCAGCACAGUAAGUGCUUGCUCUUACGGGUGGCGAGUGGCGUACGGGUGAGGAAUACAUCGGAAUCUACUUUUUCGUGGGGGAUAACGUAGGUAAACUUACGCUAAUACCGCAUACGACCUUCGGGUGAAAGCAGGGGAUCUUCUGACCUUGCGGGAUUGAAUUAGCCGAUGUCGGAUUAGCUAGUUGGCGGGGUAAAUGCCCACCCAGGCGACGAUACGUAGAUGGUCUGGGAGGAGGGUCGGCCGCACGAGAACGGAGACACGGACCAGAGUACUACGGGAGGGAGCAGUGGGGAAUAGUAGACAGUGGGCGGAAGCAUGGUCCAAUCAGACCAAGUGGGUUGAGAAAGCCUUCGGGGUGUAAAGACCUUUUGUUGGGAGAGAAAAGCUGCAGGUUAAUACCACGCUGUAGUGACGGUAACCAAAAAAUAAGCACCGGCUAACUUCGUG